UCCCUGGUGGCUCAGAUGGUAAAGCAUCUGCCUAUAAUGCAGGAGACCCAGGUUCGAUCCCUGGGUUGGGAA
rnacentral:tRNA from 1 species